rnacentral:rRNA from 1 species
AAUAUUGCAAAAUGGGGGCAAACCUGAUCCAGCCAUGCCGGGUGUAUGAAGAAGGCAUUCGGGUUUAAAGUCUUUUCGCGGGGAGGAAGGGGUAAAGUUAAUACCUUUGCUCAUUGUCGUUCCGACAAAAGAAGCACCGGCUAAUUCCGUGCCACCACGGAGUUUAUUAGGUGGGUACAAGCUUUAAUUGGAAUUACUGGGCGUAAAGCGGAGGCAGGGGGUUUGUAAAGUUAGAUGGGUAAUCCCCGGGGUUAACCUGGGAACUGCAUUUGAUACUGGCAAGCUGAGUUUCGUAGGGGGGGGUAGAAUUUCAGGGUAGGGGGAAAUGUGUAAAAUCUGGAAGAAUCCCGUGGGGAAAAAAGCCCUUGGACGAAGUUGACGCUCAGGUUGGAAAGGGGGGGAGCAAACAAGAUUGAUACCCGGUAGUCCACCCCGUA